CAAGAACCUUUAUUCUAAUCCAUGAGUGUCCAACCAUUUUGUUUGUCUCGUCCACAUUGAGCGAAGAGGAAUUCUCUUGGAAUAGAAAAAUGAAAUGUUUGUAAAACAACACGCACAUCCAUCCUGGAAUAACAAUAGGUCGAGCGGGGAGCGUGGGCUCGGGCGAUAUUCGAAAAAAGUCCUUCGUUUAAUCGCUCAUGGUAUUUCGUAUUCAUAAUCGAACGUAUUACCGCACGUGUGUCGGUAAAUAUAGGCGUUCCACUUGGCACCGUUGCAGAAAAGAUCAAGGUAUCUGACAGAGACCGUUAUGUCUCAGCGCAGUAUUAUGUAUAUAGGGUGUCGUUGCUUUCAUUUAUAUUCAAACUAUGCGAUGUACGAACGACCACGUCGACGAACGAAGAAAGAACGUCUAUCUACGAUACGCGUGUAAGCACAGGACGUACGGGAGAAGAACAUUGUCGGAUGAUCGUCGAGGGCAGACUUUUUUUAAGGGCCAUUAACCCUUUACGGUACAAUUCGACUCGUGACAGAAACGAUUCUAUGUCGUUUAAUCGACAAUGACCAAGGUCGAAGAACGAGAUCGGCAGUCUACGAGAGGAGGAAAAGAAGAAACGAAACCAAAAGGGAGCAAACAGCUAUCGCCGUUACACGAAACAAUUCAAAUUAUUUACGAGUCUAAGAGCUUCCAUGUUCUAUACUCGCUCGACAAUAACGAAAUAAUAAAGUUUUGUUUAAUUAUC